rnacentral:rRNA from 1 species
UAGCAUAUCAAUAAGCGGAGGAAAAGAAACCAACAGGGAUUACCUCAGUAACGGCGAGUGAAGCGGUAACAGCUCAAAUUUGAAAUCUGGGUCUUUCAGGCUCCGAGUUGUAAUUUGUAGAAGAUGCUUCGGGUGUGGCUCCGGUCUAAGUUCCUUGGAACAGGACGUCAUAGAGGGUGAGAAUCCCGUACGUGACUGGUUGCCUUCGCCCAUGUGAAGCUCUUUCGACGAGUCGAGUUGUUUGGGAAUGCAGCUCAAAAUGGGUGGUAAAUUUCAUCUAAAGCUAAAUAUUGGCCAGAGACCGAUAGCGCACAAGUAGAGUGAUCGAAAGAUGAAAAGCACUUUGGAAAGAGAGUUAAACAGUACGUGAAAUUGUUGAAAGGGAAGCGCUUGCAACCAGACUUGCACGCUGCCGAUCAUCCGGAGUUCUCUCCGGUGCACUCGGUUGCGUUCAGGCCAGCAUCGGUUUGGGUGGUUGGAUAAAGGCCUUGGGAAUGUAGCUUCUUUCGGGGAGUGUUAUAGCCCUCGGUGCAAUGCAGCCUAUCCGGACCGAGGACCGCGCUUCGGCUAGGAUGCUGGCGUAAUGGUUGUAAGCGACCCGUCUUGAAACACGGACCAAGGAGUCUAACAUCUAUGCGAGUGUUUGGGUGUCAAACCCAUACGCGUAAUGAAAGUGAACGGAGGUGAGAACCCUUAAGGGUGCAUCAUCGACCGAUCCUGAUGUCUUCGGAUGGAUUUGAGUAAGAGCAUAGCUGUUGGGACCCGAAAGAUGGUGAUCUAUACUUGAAUAGGGUGAAGCCAGAGGAAACUCUGGUGGAGGCUCGCAGCGGUUCUGACGUGCAAAUCGAUCGUCAAAUUUGAGUAUAGGGGCGAAAGACUAAUCGAACCAUCUAGUAGCUGGUUCCUGCCGA